AAUAGAAUAGCUGGGUCAAAUGGUGGUUCCAUUCCAAGUUUUCUGAGGAAUCUGCAUACUGCUUUCCAUAUGGUUGCACCAAUUUGCAUCCCUACAAGCAAU
rnacentral:pre_miRNA from 1 species